AGCGUUAAUCGGAAUUACUGGGCGUAAAGCGUGCGCAGGCGGUGAUGUAAGACAGUUGUGAAAUCCCCGGGCUCAACCUGGGAACUGCAUCUGUGACUGCAUCGCUGGAGUGCGGCAGAGGGGGAUGGAAUUCCGCGUGUAGCAGUGAAAUGCGUAGAUAUGCGGAGGAACACCGAUGGCGAAGGCAAUCCCCUGGGCCUGCACUGACGCUCAUGCACGAAAGCGUGGGGAGCAAACAGGAUUAGAUACCCUGGUAGUCCACGCCGUAAACGAUGUCUACUAGCCGUUGGGGUCCUUGAGACUUUAGUGGCGCAGUUAACGCGAUAAGUAGACCGCCUGGGGAGUACGGCCGCAAGGUUAAAACUCAAAUGAAUUGACGGGGGCCCGCACAAGCGGUGGAGCAUGUGGUUUAAUUCGAUGCAACGCGAAGAACCUUACCAAGGCUUGACAUAUACGAGAACGGGCCAGAAAUGGUCAACUCUUUGGACACUCGUAAACAGGUGGUGCAUGGUUGUCGUCAGCUCGUGUCGUGAGAUGUUGGGUUAAGUCCCGCAACGAGCGCAACCCUCGUUUUUAGUUGCUAGAAAUCUAAAAAGACUAUCGGUUAUAAACCGGAGGAAGGUGAGGAUGACGUCAAGUCAGCAUGCCCCUUACACCCUGGGCUACACACGUGCUACAUUGGGUAAGACAAUGAGUCGCGAACCUGUGAAGGUCAGCAAAUCUAUAAACUUACUCUACGUUCGGAUUGUAGGCUGUAACUCGCCUACAUGAAGUUGGAAUCGCUAGUAAUCGCUGGUCAGCCACACAGCGGUGAAUCCGUUCCCGGGCCUUGUACACACCGCCCGUCA
rnacentral:rRNA from 1 species